CGCCUGGGCUGCAGGAACCUGAGCUCCCAGUCCGCGGUCCCAGGGUUCGGGGGCGGGGCGGGGGGAGGGGCUGGAGGAGAAGACCCCUCCCCCGCCACUGGGGAGCCCCUACUGCGCCAAAGCCAGAAGCGUCCCCCGCAUCCUGGACACCCAACCCCAGGGCAGCCUCCUCCUUCAGACUGACAACUCCUGGAGAACAGGGUCCAAGCCUGAGCCCCCAGAACCCAGCGUGUGGGUGUGGUGUACAGGUGGAUGAGGGCUAAAGUGCCCAGGGUCCUUCCAGAUGUGGAGGACCCCUACCCUAGAAGCUAGACACAGGGAAGAGCUAAAUGACAACUCGACCCACUUGCCCCCCCGAGAGAUGAGAAAACCCCACCUUCGUGUCUCAGGGCAGACCACCACCACUCUUGCAUCCU